GAUGAACGCUGGCGGCGUGCCUAACACAUGCAAGUCGAGCGGCAGGACGGUAAGAUUGUGUUCUUGCUGUUGGCGGCGGGCGGGCGGGUGACGAGUGCAUCCUCAUCUUCUUUUUCGGGGAUGAUUACGUAAAACGGGAUAUGAUACCAGAGCAUAUUUUGAACCGGUGUGAGCAUAGGAACGUGUCGGCGUUUGUGUCUGUAAUAGACGCUGCUGGAUUGGCUUGUUGGGUGGGUAAAGGCACACCAAGGCAACGAUCCGUAGCCGGUCUGAGAGGAUGAUCGGCCACACUGGAACUGAGACACGGUCCAGACUCCUACGGGAGGCAGCAGUGGGGAAUAUUGGACAAUGGGCGCAAGCCUGAUCCAGCCAUAUCGCGUGGGUGAAGAAGGCCUUCGGGUUGUAAAGCCCUUUUGUUGGGAAAGAACAGCAGCAGGUUAAUACCCCGCUGUUCUGACGGUACCCAAAGAAUAAGCACCGGCUAACUUCGUG
rnacentral:rRNA from 1 species